rnacentral:rRNA from 1 species
GUCCACGCCGUAAACUAUGGGUGCUAGCCGUCGGGGAGCUUGCUCUUCGGUGGCGCAGCUAACGCGUUAAGCACCCCGCCUGGGGAGUACGGUCGCAAGAUUAAAACUCAAAGGAAUUGACGGGGCCCGCACAAGCGGUGGAGCAUGUGGUUUAAUUCGAGGCAACGCGAAGAACCUUACCAGCCCCUUGACUUCCCGAUCGGGGGACCAGAGAUGGACCUCUUCAAUUGGUCGGUGACAGGUGCUGCAUGGCUGUCGU